rnacentral:SRP_RNA from 1 species
UUGCGCUAGGCGGGAAGCUAGCGGUGUCCUAUUACCCGAAAUCCGCUUAAUGCGGGGCUGAAUUCCCUUUUGAGGGCCUCCACUUCCAUGUGCCAAGGGCUGUCCCAGGUCGGGCACCACGCAACAGGCGGUUACGAACUCCGUCAGAUCCGGGAGGAAGCAGCGGUAAGUAAUGCAGUCUGUGUCGUGGGCUGGCUUCGGCCGAAUCAUGAUGGCUUGAGGUGCGUUGGAAAGGGUUCGAUGAAGGGUGCGCAA